rnacentral:rRNA from 1 species
AGCAGCCGCGGUAAUUCCAGCUCCAAUAGCGUAUAUUAAAGUUGUUGCAGUUAAAAAGCUCGUAGUUGAAUUUCGGGAUUGGCGCAUCGGUCGUGCCUCACGGGGUAUGAACUGGUGCAGUCAAUUUCUCACCUUCUGGAGAACCGCGAUGUCCUUAAUUGGAUGCCGCGGGGAACCAGGACCUUUACUUUGAAAAAUUAGAGUGUUUAAAGCAGGCAUUUUUGCUUGAAUACAUUAGCAUGGAAUAAUAAAAUAGGACGGCAUGGUUCUAUUUUGUUGGUUUCUAGGACCACCGUAAUGAUUAAUAGGGAUAGUUGGGGGCAUUAGUAUUCAAUUGUCAGAGGUGAAAUUCUUGGAUUUAUUGAAGACUAACUACUGCGAAAGCAUUUGCCAAGGAUGUUUUCAUUAAUCAAGAACGAAAGUUAGGGGAUCGAAGACGAUCAGAUACCGUCGUAGUCUUAACCAUAAACUAUGCCGACUAGGAAUCAG